GGAAGCUACUAAGGGCGAGCGGUGGAUGCCUUGGCUGGCAGAGGCGAUGAAGGACGUGCCAGGCUGCGAAAAGCCAGGGGGAGCUGCCAAGAAGCAUUGAUCCCUGGAUAUCCGAAUGGGGAAACCCGGCCAGUCGUAAGACUGGUCACCUCUUUUGAGGGGCGAACCUGGGGAAGUGAAACAUCUCAGUACCCAGAGGAAAAGAAAUCAAACGAGAUUCCCUAAGUAGCGGCGAGCGAACGGGGAGUAGCCCGCCUCUGUGUAGCUAACAAGUUAGGGGAACUACUUGGAAAAGUAGGCCAAAGAAGGUGAAAGCCCUGUACCCGAAAGCUUGUUAGUGGGACUAAGCAGAGGCCUUGUGAGUAGCUCGGGACACGUGAAAUCCUGAGUGAAGAUGGGAGGACCACCUUCCAAGGCUAAAUACUACUGCCAGACCGAUAGCGAACAAGUACCGUGAGGGAAAGGUGAAAAGAACCCUGGUGAAGGGAGUGAAAUAGAACCUGAAACCGCUUGCCUACAAUCAUUCGGAGCCCUAUUGCUUUUAGCAAGGGUGACGGACUGCCUUUUGCAUAAUGAGCCUGCGAGUUGUGGUUACUGGCGAGGUUAAUCCGAGAGGAGGAGCCGAAGCGAAAGCGAGUCUGAAAAGGGCGAAUUAGUCAGUAGCUGCAGACCCGAAGCUGAGUGAUCUAUCCAUGGGCAGGUUGAAGGUGGGGUAAGACCCACUGGAGGACCGAACCGGUAGGCGUUGAAAAGCCUUCGGAUGACCUGUGGAUAGGGGUGAAAGGCCAAUCAAACUCAGUGAUAGCUGGUUCUCUCCGAAAUGCAUUUAGGUGCAGCGUCAAGAGGUAGCCAUAGGGGGUAGAGCACUGAUAGGGCUAGGGCGGCCCACAGCCGUACCAAACCCUGUCAAACUCCGAAUACCUAUGGUGGAAUCUUGGCAGUGAGGCGUAGGGUGAUAAAAUCCUAUGUCGAGAGGGGAACAACCCAGACUACCGACUAAGGUCCCCAAGUUAAGCCUAAGUGGAAAAGGAGGUUUUCCUGCUUAGACAACCAGGAGGUUGGCUUAGAAGCAGCCAUCCUUUAAAGAAAGCGUAACAGCUCACUGGUCGAGCGGGGAAGCGCCGAAAAUAUAACGGGGCUAAAGGCUUACACCGAAGUCGUAGACUCUAUGUGGAAUAGAGUGGUAGGAGAGCGUUGGUGUCAGCGUUGAAGCCAUACCGGUGAGGAGUGGUGGAGCGGCACCAAGUGAGCAUGCAGGCAUGAGUAGCGAUAAAAUGGGUGAGAAUCCCAUUCGCCGAAAGCCUAAGGUUUCCUACACGAUGCUCGUCAGUGUAGGGUUAGUCGGGACCUAAGACGAGGCCGAAAGGCGUAGUCGAUGGGAAAACGGUUAAUAUUCCGUUACCUACUAAUAGCGAGCCGAAGGGGGGACGCAUAGGGCUAACCGAGGUCACUGAUGGAAUAGUGGCUCGAAGGGUGUAGGAGGUCAAGUAGGCAAAUCCGCUUGACAAAACUCCGAGACCUGACAGGCCCUCAAACCUCUUCGGAGGGGAGAGGGAAUCGGUGAUGCCGUCGUGCCGAGAAAAGCCUCUAAGGCGUUUGAGCUAUUAGUAGCCCGUACCGCAAACCGACACAGGUAGGCGGGAUGAGUAUUCUAAGGCGCGUGGAAGAACCCUCCCUAAGGAACUCGGCAAAUUGGCACCGUAACUUCGGGAUAAGGUGUGCCCCGAGUAGGUGAAGGAGCUUGCCUCUGGAGCCGAAAGGGGUCGCAGCGUAGCGCUCUUGCCGACUGUUUACCAAAAACACAGCACUCUGCUAACUCGUAAGAGGAAGUAUAGGGUGUGACGCCUGCCCGGUGCCGGAAGGUUAAGGGGAUCCGUUAGCCGUAAGGCAAAGCGGUGAACCGAAGCCCCGGUAAACGGCGGCCGUAACUAUAACGGUCCUAAGGUAGCGAAAUUCCUUGUCGGUU
rnacentral:rRNA from 1 species